rnacentral:rRNA from 1 species
GACGAACGCUGGCGGCGGGCUUAACACAUGCAAGUCGAACGAAGUGGCGAAAGGGUGAGUAAUACGUGGGGAACCUGCCCUCCUUUUUGGGAUAAGCGUUGGAAACGGGGCCUAAGACCGAGAGAAGGGGGAUGGGUUGGUGGCCUUGCAGCUUGUUGGUGGGGUGACGGCCUACCAAGGCGGUGACGGGUAGCCGGCCUGAGAGGGUGACCGGCAACUUAGGGACGGAGCUACGGCCCAGGCUCCUACGGGGGGGAGCAGUGGGGAAUAUUGGACAAUGGGCGAACGCGUGAUGCAGUGACGCCGCGGGGGGGAUGGAGACUUUCAGGUUGUAAACCUCUUGCGCUAUCGAAAGGGUAGGUGGAGAAGAAGCACCGGCUAACUACGUGCCAGCAGCCGCGGUAAUAC